UCCAUGGUGACGCGAGAACGCUGCCGUGGCCGAGGAGCCGGGACAGCGGCAGGGACACCGCCGGGGCCCGGGAGCAGCUCCUCGGGGCUGGACACCUUCCCUGGAAUAAAAAAGCCCCGGGACCCUCCGUCCGGCCGGGGCAGCGCUGAGGGGGGUGAAGCCGAUGGACAAGGAAGAGGACAAAGAUCACACACCCCCAGUCAAUGAGAGAAGCAGUACAGAGCUGAAGAAAAAGGAAAAAGAAGCCAAGCGUGUUAUCAAAACUAUCCAGUGGACCACAGGCAACAACUUCACAGUGGAGAGAGGGCGGCAGCAGAUUGAAGAGCUCAUUUCUCACUGUCCUCAAGUCACCUCUACCAGACAGAGGGAAUCUUAGUGUGAUGCCUUUGUUCGACAGACAUGGGACAUUCACGAAAGCUGGCUUCACCACUCAGAAUUUCUUGAGGAAGAAGAACUGAAGGACAGCAAGAGGUACCAUUACAGAGCUUGCUGGGGCAUCCCAACACGCAGAAAACCCAUCCCACGAGCAACAGCAAGUGUCUACUUUGUUAUAGUGAUCUCCAAACUCAAACCUGACACCUCGCCUGUGGAGGUUUUCUUCAGACUGGAGUCCAGCAGGCUGAUUCGCAGGCCAGAAGAGUGUCAGUUUAGAGAAAAGUGGCUUCAGGACAUUAUUGAAAAUAAAAUAAUCCUCAUAGAAAGACUCAGUUCCCAAUGAGCAGCUCCAAUUCACCAUCACCAAUGCUCCGUUUUGGAGAACCAAAUAAACACAAUGGAGAAAGAAA